rnacentral:misc_RNA from 1 species
GAUGAAGAACGUAGCGAAAUGCGAUAAGUAAUGUGAAUUGCAGAAUUCAGUGAAUCAUCGAAUAUUUGAACGCACAUUGCGCCCAUUAGUAUUCUAGUGGGCAUGCCUGUUCGAGCGUCAUUAAUUCCACUUAAGCCCUGCUUAGUGUUGGGAAUCUACUCUAGUGGUGCUACCCUGGAGCUACCCCUGAAAGGGGGCUGGCCCGGUAGCUACCCUGUAGUUCCUCAAAGAUAGUGCGCGGAGUUGCGUGGUCCUCUGAGCUUAGUAACUAUACACCUAGCUUUUGAGUGUCCCGCGGCGCCUGCCGUUUAAACCCCAUCUUUUAAUGGUUGACCUCGGAUCAGGUAGGAAUACCCGCUGAACUUAAGCAUAUCAAUAAGCGGAGGA